AGAGUUUGAUCCUGGCUCAGAACGAACGCUGGCGGCGUGCUUAACACAUGCAAGUCGCGUGCGCAGUUGCCGUAGCAAUACGGUGAUGGGCGCACGGCGCACGGGUGCGUAACACGUGGGCAAUCUGCCCUCUGAUGGGGAAUAACCCGCCGAAAGGCGGGCUAAUUCCGCAUAAGAUUCCCGGAACUUCGGUUCUGGGAUUGAAAGCAGUAAUGCGUCGGAGGAGGAGCCCGCGCCCGAUUAGCCAGUUGGUGAGGUAACGGCUCACCAAGGCUAUGAUCGGUAGCUGGUCUGAGAGGAUGAUCAGCCACACUGGAACUGAGACACGGUCCAGACUCCUACGGGAGGCAGCAGUGGGGAAUCUUGCACAAUGGGCGAAAGCCUGAUGCAGCGACGCCGCGUGGGGGAUGAAGCAUUUCGGUGUGUAAACCCCUUUCGACUGGGAAGAAUGCCUCGCAAGAGGAGUGACGGUACCAGUAGAAGAAGCCCCGGCUAACUACGUGCCAGCAGCCGCGGUAAGACGUAGGGGGCCAGCGUUGUUCGGAAUUACUGGGUGUAAAGGGUUCGUAGGCGGUGCGGCAAGUUGGGAGUGAAAUCUCUGGGCUUAACCCAGAGGCUGCUUCCAAAACUGCUGUGCUCGAGUGUGAGAGAGGCUCGUGGAAUUGCAGGUGUAGCGGUGAAAUGCGUAGAUAUCUGCAGGAACACCCGUGGCGAAAGCGGCGAGCUGGAUCACUACUGACGCUGAGGAACGAAAGCUAGGGGAGCAAACAGGAUUAGAUACCCUAGUAGUCC
rnacentral:rRNA from 1 species